rnacentral:rRNA from 1 species
CAAGUCGACGCUGAAGCCCAGCUUGCUGGGUGGAUGAGUGGCGAACGGGUGAGUAACACGUGGGUAAUCUGCCCUGUACUCUGGGAUAAGCCUGGGAAACUGGGUCUAAUACCGGAUAGGACAUUCCACCGCAUGGUGGGGUGUGGAAAGCUCCGGCGGUACAGGUUGAGCCCGCGGCCUAUCAGCUUGUUGGUGGGGUGAUGGCCUACCAAGGCGACGACGGGUAGCCGGCCUGAGAGGGUGACCGGCCACACUGGGACUGAGACACGGCCCAGACUCCUACGGGAGGCAGCAGUGGGGAAUAUUGCACAAUGGGCGCAAGCCUGAUGCAGCGACGCCGCGUGGGGGAUGACGGCCUUCGGGUUGUAAACCCCUUUCGCCAGGGACGAAGCGAGAGUGACGGUACCUGGAGAAGAAGCACCGGCCAACUACGUGCCAGCAGCCGCGGUAAUACGUAGGGUGCAAGCGUUGUCCGGAAUUAUUGGGCGUAAAGAGCUCGUAGGCGGUGUGUCACGUCUGCCGUGAAAACCUGCGGCUUAACCGUGGGCGUGCGGUGGAUACGGGCAUCACUUGAGUUCGGUAGGGGAGACUGGAAUUCCUGGUGUAGCGGUGGAAUGCGCAGAUAUCAGGAGGAACACCGGUGGCGAAGGCGGGUCUCUGGGCCGAUACUGACGCUGAGGAGCGAAAGCGUGGGGAGCGAACAGGAUUAGAUACCCUGGUAGUCCACGCCGUAAACGUUGGGCGCUAGGUGUGGGGCGCUGUUCACGUGUCCCGUGCCGUAGCUAACGCAUUAAGC